CCGGGCGCACGGGUGAGUAACGCGUAUGCAACUUACCUAUCAGAGGGGGACGAACCGGCGAAAGUCGGACUAAUACCGCAUAAAGCAGGGAUCCCGCAUGGGAAUAUUUGCUAAAGAUUCAUCGCUGAUAGAUAGGCAUGCGUUCCAUUAGGCAGUUGGCGGGGUAACGGCCCACCAAACCGACGAUGGAUAGGGGUUCUGAGAGGAAGGUCCCCCACAUUGGUACUGAGACACGGACCAA
rnacentral:rRNA from 1 species